GAUGAAGAACGUAGCGAAAUGCGAUAAGUAAUGUGAAUUGCAGAAUUCAGUGAAUCAUCGAAUCUUUGAACGCACAUUGCGCCCGUCAGUAUUCUGGCGGGCAUGCCUGUUCGAGCGUCAUUACGCCCCUCAAGUCCCCUGUGGACUUGGUGUUGGGGAUCGGCAAGGCUGGUUUUCCAGCACAGCCGUCCCUUAAAUUAAUUGGCGGUCUCGCCGUGGCCCUCCUCUGCGCAGUAGUAAAACACUCGCAACAGGAGCCCGGCGCGGUCCACUGCCGUAAAACCCCCCAACUUUUUAUAGUUGACCUCGAAUCAGGUAGGACUACCCGCUGAACUUAAGCAUAUCAAUAAGCGGAGGA
rnacentral:misc_RNA from 1 species